rnacentral:rRNA from 1 species
GACGAACGCUGGCGGCGCGCUUAACACAUGCAAGUCGAACGGAAAGGCCUGCUUUCCCUUGUGGAUUGCGGGUACUCGAGUGGCGAACGGGUGAGUAACACGUGAGUGAUCUGCCCCCAACUUGGGUAUAAGCCUGGGAAACUGGGUCUAAUUCCCGAUAGGACUGCAGGGUGGUGCCUGUGGUGGAAAACGAUUUUCUAGUGGUUGGGGAUGAGCUCGCGGCCUAUCAGCUUGUUGGUGGGGUAAUGGCCUACCAAGGCGGCGACGGGUAGCCGGCCUGGGAGGGUGGACGGCCACAUUGGGACUGAGAUACGGCCCAGACUCCUACGGGAGGCAGCAGUGGGGAAUAUGGCACAAUGGGCGGAAGCCUGAUGCAGCGACGCCGCGUGGGGGAUGACAGCCUUCGGGUUGUAAACUCCUUUCGACCGCGAGGAAGCCACCUGGUUGGAAGGGUGGUGACGGUAGUGGUAGAAGAAGCACCGGCUAACUACGUG